UGGCCUCCAUGUGGCCGCAUUCUUGUCCACACACAUGGGCAACUAUAUAAGUGAUUUUAGGGUUUUUAAGAGAGGGCUUGGCCGCCACACUUCUUUAAGUGCUAGUGCAUAAUACCAUUGGAAAAGGCCGAUUCAAGCUAGAAUCGAGGGGAAAAGAAAGUGGAUCUAGGGGAAUGUCAAUAACUAGAUGGCGCGGAUCCGGAGAGGUCUCAUCACCACCAUUAGUCGAUGGAAUAGAGGAUGAGCCAUAUUUGAAUAAGCCUAUUGAGGAUUACGACCUCAUUGAGACUAUAUGUGAUAAUGAUCAAGCUAGUGGCCACUAUGCCAUCCCAUCUGGAAGUCAUAUUGGCACACAUAUGGAGUGCAACUUAGAACAAGAAGUAUUCCCUCCUACACAACAUUUUGUUGAUAUGUCCUUUGGGAAGACUGAUGCUUAUGGUAAUACCUCCCCAUUUGCUCAACCCAAUACUUCUGAGCCCGUGUCAGCAACAAGUCCAAUACAAAGCAAGAAACAAAAAGGUUUGUGAUAAUGGAGUAUUGUGGAUAUAAUAUCACUUGAAUCAUAAUUGUGGUGAUGUGUAUGGACAAGCAUAGCCAAAAAGCACGCUCGUGCUUUAAACCACGCUGUUUUCAGGACUUAGAGAAUUCCAGCAGAGCUGCCUAAGCACAAUCGUACUUGGAAUCAUGGUCAGCAGGCACGGGUAUGCUUAAGCCUGUGCACUUCACUGGGAUCUGCACAAAAUAGAGAGCACGGUUUUACUGCCCAUAACACCAACUUACCGAGGAGCACAGUCGGCAAGCACAGGCGUGCUUGCGCCCGUGCACUUUAUUGGGAUUUUUGAUAAGUGCUUGUGUAUAAGUAUUACUAAGUAUACCUUUCUUAC